UGUGUGUUAGUGGAAGCGUCUGGAAAGGCGCGCGAUACAGGGUGACAGCCCCGUACACAAAAAUGCACAUGCUGUGAGCUCGAUGAGUAGGGCGGGACACGUGGUAUCCUGUCUGAAUAUGGGGGGACCAUCCUCCAAGGCUAAAUACUCCUGACUGACCGAUAGUGAACCAGUACCGUGAGGGAAAGGCGAAAAGAACCCCGGCGAGGGGAGUGAAAAAGAACCUGAAACCGUGUACGUACAAGCAGUGGGAGCACAGAGCAAUCUGUGUGACUGCGUACCUUUUGUAUAAUGGGUCAGCGACUUAUAUUCUGUAGCAAGGUUAACCGAAUAGGGGAGCCGAAGGGAAACCGAGUCUUAACUGGGCGUUAAGUUGCAGGGUAUAGACCCGAAACCCGGUGAUCUAGCCAUGGGCAGGUUGAAGGUUGGGUAACACUAACUGGAGGACCGAACCGACUAAUGUUGAAAAAUUAGCGGAUGACUUGUGGCUGGGGGUGAAAGGCCAAUCAAACCGGGAGAUAGCUGGUUCUCCCCGAAAGCUAUUUAGGUAGCGCCUCGUGAAUUCAUCUCCGGGGGUAGAGCACUGUUUCGGCAAGGGGGUCAUCCCGACUUACCAACCCGAUGCAAACUGCGAAUACCGGAGAAUGUUAUCACGGGAGACACACGGCGGGUGCUAACGUCCGUCGUGAAGAGGGAAACAACCCAGACCGCCAGCUAAGGUCCCAAAGUCAUGGUUAAGUGGGAAACGAUGUGGGAAGGCCCAGACAGCCAGGAUGUUGGCUUAGAAGCAGCCAUCAUUUAAAGAAAGCGUAAUAGCUCACUGGUCGAGUCGGCCUGCGCGGAAGAUGUAACGGGGCUAAACCAUGCACCGAAGCUGCGGCAGCGACGCUUAUGCGUUGUUGGGUAGGGGAGCGUUCUGUAAGCCUGUGAAGGUGUACUGUGAGGUAUGCUGGAGGUAUCAGAAGUGCGAAUGCUGACAUAAGUAACGAUAAAGCGGGUGAAAAGCCCGCUCGCCGGAAGACCAAGGGUUCCUGUCCAACGUUAAUCGGGGCAGGGUGAGUCGACCCCUAAGGCGAGGCCGAAAGGCGUAGUCGAUGGGAAACAGGUUAAUAUUCCUGUACUUGGUGUUACUGCGAAGGGGGGACGGAGAAGGCUAUGUUGGCCGGGCGACGGUUGUCCCGGUUUAAGCGUGUAGGCUGGUUUUCCAGGCAAAUCCGGAAAAUCAAGGCUGAGGCGUGAUGACGAGGCACUACGGUGCUGAAGCAACAAAUGCCCUGCUUCCAGGAAAAGCCUCUAAGCAUCAGGUAACAUCAAAUCGUACCCCAAACCGACACAGGUGGUCAGGUAGAGAAUACCAAGGCGCUUGAGAGAACUCGGGUGAAGGAACUAGGCAAAAUGGUGCCGUAACUUCGGGAGAAGGCACGCUGAUAUGUAGGUGAAGUCCCUCGCGGAUGGAGCUGAAAUCAGUCGAAGAUACCAGCUGGCUGCAACUGUUUAUUAAAAACACAGCACUGUGCAAACACGAAAGUGGACGUAUACGGUGUGACGCCUGCCCGGUGCCGGAAGGUUAAUUGAUGGGGUCAGCGCAAGCGAAGCUCUUGAUCGAAGCCCCGGUAAACGGCGGCCGUAACUAUAACGGUCCUAAGGUAGCGAAAUUCCUUGUCGGGUAAGUUCCGACCUGCACGAAUGGCGUAAUGAUGGCCAGGCUGUCUCCACCCGAGACUCAGUGAAAUUGAACUCGCUGUGAAGAUGCAGUGUACCCGCGGCAAGACGGAAAGACCCCGUGAACCUUUACUAUAGCUUGACACUGAACAUUGAGCCUUGAUGUGUAGGAUAGGUGGG
rnacentral:rRNA from 1 species